AGACCCCGCAUGGGCUUCCGCGUGGCCCCAGCCUCCCCAACGGGCGCCACCCCGUGCUCUGCGGCCCCGGGUCCCAUCGACCACCCAAGGGCUGAGGAGUGCGCGUGCACCGCGCUGGAGUGGCAAGCAGCUCCACCCGCGGCCCCGGCGCGGAAUCCACUAGGCGAAGCCAGCUGGGCUCCUGAGUCAGGCAUGUGCUUUUGCAGGAAGGACGCUGGACUCUUGCACUAUAAGUUGAAAACAUCGCUUAUAAACAAUACAUCACAGCACACUUGCAGAGAGAGCACUGGUUCAUCAAAAUAAGAUAUGAUCAAGGUACAAAAGAGUUAAAGAAGCUAUUUAUUUUAAUGUUUCCUUGGAGAGCACACUUGUUAUUGUAUGUAUGCAAAAGAUGAUCUUACUCUUGAGAGCCACUAGAACUCUUUGAAGAAAAAAAAAUGCUAUUUGCUAUAGGGAAAUCUUUCUGGAAAAGUAAUAAUUUCACCUUUGAGUCAGCUUCCCUGGACUCUUGCCUCAUACAUCUUCAGCCAAGAUGCCUGCCCCAGCUUUGCCUUCCACCAUGAGUAAAAGCUUCCCAAGUCCUCCCCAGAAGCAGAUGCUGGCGCUAUGCUUCUGGUACAGCCUGAAAAACCUUGAGCCAAUUAAACCUCAGUGAGCUCAAGAUGUCUUUGUUGAAACAGAACCUCCCGAAGUUACAGUAUUGGUUUUGGGGCUCCACACAGAGAACACAUCACGGAAGCUAUAAUUGAGGAAGACAAAGCUGUCAGGACGACACCAAGAGAGUUAGAAAGCCCAAGAGUGGAGCAUUCUUCACCAUGAUUCCACCUGACACUUGGCUGAAAGCAUUUUGCACUAAUUUGCUUUGUGCCCGUUCAGACAAUCUAAAAAGAAAGGAUGGGGGGACAACAAGUGUCUAUUACACAGAAUAAACAGCCUCUGGCAAAUG
ensembl:lncRNA LINC02253 long intergenic non-protein coding RNA 2253